UAGGAGAGCGUUCUAAGGGCGUUGAAGCAUGAUCGCAAGGACAUGUGGAGCGCUUAGAAGUGAGAAUGCCGGUGUGAGUAGCGAAAGACGGGUGAGAAUCCCGUCCACCGAUUGACUAAGGUUUCCAGAGGAAGGCUCGUCCGCUCUGGGUUAGUCGGGUCCUAAGCUGAGGCCGACAGGCGUAGGCGAUGGAUAACAGGUUGAUAUUCCUGUACCACCUAGCAUCGUUUUAAUCGAUGGGGGGACGCAGUAGGAUAGGCGAAGCGUACGAUUGGAUUGUACGUC
rnacentral:rRNA from 1 species